rnacentral:lncRNA from 1 species
GAUAACAUCAGAAGAUGCGGAAGCAAAGGCUUCAAAAUGGUACAAGCUUGAACCCAAAUCAUUAGGAAGACUGGCUCCAAUUAUUAGAUCGAAACACAUAUAAUGAGCAUCCUGUGACGUCCUAACUUGACGCUCUGACUCUUGGUAAAGAUUUAGUGCCAAGGAAUCCAACGCUUGAUAAUUGUUAUAUAUAAUUCUACACUUGCUGGGAAAUUCUUCAACCUGCGUUUCGGUCGUAUUGGAAGCAUAGUAUCUGUAGAAAUGUUAGCCCAAAGCCAAGGACUGAUACAAAACACAGUCAAUUGAUACACUGCAGAGGCGUCUGAUGUCUGUCUCUUGCUUGAUUUGAGGAUUAGAAUAGAAGCACUUGAGGCAGUAUUCAGGACGUGAUGUGUUGCUGCACACGAUGCUGAUAAGAGGAUGAUCAUCUCCAUUAGAAAACACUGGUUUCUGCUUUGAAUUCUCUCCGUGCAUUUUGAUUGAUUCUCUGGAUGGUUGAAGAAUGGUAUUUAUAAGGAAGACUGUUGGGAUGAAGAUCAGAAAUGUGAAGCAAAUGGGCAGGCUACAGCUUGGAGAGGAGGCCAUCUUCGAUGGCAUAGAC